rnacentral:rRNA from 1 species
UGCGGAAGGAUCAUUAAAGAGAUAGGGUCUUCAUGGCCCGACCUCCAACCCCUCUGUUGUUAUAACUACCUUGUUGCUUUGGCGGGACCGUCUCGGUCUCCGAGCGCACUAACCCUCGGGUUGGUGAGCGCCCGCCAGAGUCCAACCAAACUCUUGUAUUAAACCAGUCGUCUGAGUAUAAAAUUUUAAUUAAAUUAAAACUUUCAACAACGGAUCUCUUGGUUCUCGCAUCGAUGAAGAACGCAGCGAAAUGCGAUAAGUAAUGUGAAUUGCAGAAUUCAGUGAAUCAUCGAAUCUUUGAACGCACAUUGCGCCCCUUGGUAUUCCGAGGGGCAUGCCUGUUCGAGCGUCAUUACACCACUCAAGCAUCGCUUGGUAUUGGGAACGGUCCGUCGAAAGGCGGGCCUUCCUCGAAGACCUCGGCGGGGUUCAACCAACUUCGGGCGUAGUAGAGUUAAAUCGAACGUCUUAUAAGCUUGGUCGGAUCUCAUUGCCGUUAAACCUUUAAAUUUUCUAGGUUGACCUCGGAUCAGGUAGGGAUACCCGCUGAACUUAAGCAUA